rnacentral:snRNA from 1 species
GGAUGUGAGGGCCAUCUGGCUGUGACAUCAGUCACCCCUCUGAUCGCCAGGGUUGAUUCAGGUGGCUGAUCUGGCUGGCUAGGCGUGUGUCCUCUUCCUCCCUCACUGCUCCAUGUGCUUCCCUCCUGAAGCUGCGAGCUCGGUGGAAGAGGAUGACCUUCCCCAGUAGAGGAGGACCAUUCUUCGUUCAAGGGUAUAUGAGUAGCUGCGCUCCCCUGCUAGAACCUCUAAACAAGCUCUCGAAAAGUUAGUUCUGUGCCUAAGCAAUUCCAUUCAUCUAAAAUGAAUUUAGAUGAAUUCCAUU